rnacentral:misc_RNA from 1 species
CGCACCUUGCGCCUCUUGGUAUUCCGAGAGGCAUGCCUGUUUGAGUGUCAUUAAAUUCUCAACCUCAAAGACUUUUUGUUGAUGAGGCUUGGAUGUGGAGGCUUUGCAGGCUCUUCUAGAGUCAGCUCCUCUGAAAUACAUUAGUGGAAACUGUUUGUAGUCCGCAUUGGUGUGAUAAUUAUCAGCGCUAUUGUGGCUACAAGCUUGUGUAGUGUUCGUUUGGAAAGUGCACUAAUACUGCUCUCUCUGCUUCACUUGACCUACGCAAGUAUAGUAUUCGCUUCAAACCGUCCUAAGUUAUUGGACAAUUACUUGAUUAUUUUGACCUCAAAUCAGGUAGGAUUACCCGCUGAACUUAA